rnacentral:rRNA from 1 species
GUCAAGUAGAAAAGGGCGCACGGUGAAUGCCUAGGCACUAAAAGCCGAUGAAGGACGUGACGAACUACGAAAAGCUUCGGGGAGCGGUAAGUACGCAGUGAUCCGGAGAUGUCCGAAUGGGGGAACCCAAUGCAGCGAUGCAUUAUUGGUUGAUGAAUAAAUAGUCAAUCAAAGGAAUACGCAGCGAACUGAAACAUCUAAGUAGCUGCAGGAAGAGAAAGAAAAAUCGAUUUCCUUAGUAGCGGCGAGCGAAGAGGAAAGAGCCCAAACCAAGUGAUUUAUCAUUUGGGGUUGUAGGACUGCAACGUGGCAGCGUGAGUGAUAGCAGAAUUAUCUGGGAAGGUAAGCCAGAGAGGGUGAGAGCCCCGUAAGCGAAAUUGCAAGCGCGCCUAGCAGAAUCCUGAGUAGGCCGGGACACGAGAAAUCCCGGUUGAAACCGCGAGGACCAUCUCGCAAGGCUAAAUACUAAUUAGU